GAAGUUUCCUCCCUUCUGUAAUAAGCAGCCAAUGAGUUCUCACGGAAGGUGAUAAUUCUGACUAAAACUACAGAAUAAAGCCGCCAGUUAAAAUCAGGGAACAGUUGUGCUCGUGGUUACUGAAGGGAGCUACACUGUCCAGACGAGAUGUUACAACGAACUGAAUCGUCAAGUAGUAGACAAUGGACCUGAUCGGACAGCUCAGAGCCUCUGCUCUCUGCAGGCCAGGAGCAAGGAAGGAGGGUGUGGUCAAGCAAGGCUUUUUUUUGUAAUUGUAUUUUUUUCUUCUAGUCAAUGGAGGUCUUCCUCUUUAUAUAGCCUGCUACAGCAUGCAAUACUAUUAACUCACAAGGGGGCAUAACGUUACAUGGACAAUACUCUCCCAUUUUGGAAACGUUACAUGGACAAUAGUAUCCCAUUUUGGAAACGUUACAUGGACGUCCCCUUGUGGAGGGAAAUUAAUAUCUUAGAUGGAAGCGGUUGAUGGGAUUCAAAUGCAUAAUGGACAGAACAUGGACACAAUGCAAUUGGGAUCAAGAAGAAGAUCUUCUCAAAAAUGAAUCAAGUCCAUGGAAUGGAUAUAGACAAAAAGAGAAUUCAAGGACUAUCAGAGAUAGAGGUGAGGCAGGGGUGAGGACAUCAUCCUGCUAUCUUGACAGUCCCUGAAGGACAAUACAGAAGAGGACUGGACACCACAGCAGCGAUUCUGCUCUUGCCCUACCUCUUCAAUGUGGACCCAAGUGGCCUUUAUGUCCGUGACAAGAUUUCACCGCUCUUCACUCCUUUACUGCACAUCGGCGGAAACCCAAAAUCCCGCUGACCUUUGAUGUGGAGAACAUCCAUGCCCUCGAGGACGUCCCCAUGGGACUUGGGGCUCUGCUAGGGCUGUAUUACAUUUCCCCUAAAUUUCCCCAAAAUAUCAGAAAAACACUUAUGUUGUUAAGUGACUGUUCUGGGGAUAAGAGAAGUUGGGGUGAAGUUACCAGGGCCGGUCAUAAAGAUGGCAAACUUCCUAACAUAACUAAGUGGAUACAAUAUACACACUAAAGCUGAAAAAUCUGUAUUUAGCAUCAAGUCUACAAUAUUGUUAGUUUACCAAUGAUUCAUUUUUAAUGCAUGUUGUUUUUAUUGUACAUUAUUAUUUGUGAUUUUUUUUUUGUGUCAUGAAAAGCACUAUACAAAGUAAAUGUUUUACUUAUUAUGGUCUGACAUGUCUACAGAAAUGUUGUAAUUUUGUAAUGUGUUUUGUUUGGUAAGUUGUUUUGUAAAUAUUAAUUCAUAUUUGUGGU